GGAAUCUUCGGCAAUGGGGGCAACCCUGACCGAGCAACGCCGCGUGAGUGAAGAAGGUUUUCGGAUCGUAAAGCUCUGUUGUAAGAGAGGAACGUGUGUGAGAGUGGAAAGUUCACACAGUGACGGUAACUUACCAGAAAGGGACGGCUAACUACGUGUCAG
rnacentral:rRNA from 1 species